UACAGAGGUCCCAAGCGUUGUUCGGAUUCACUGGGUUUAAAGGGUGCGUAGGUGGGCAAGUAAGUCAGUGGUGAAAUCUCCGGGCUUAACCCGGAAACUGCCAUUGAUACUAUUUGUCUUGAAUACUGUGGAGGUCAGCGGAAUAUGUCAUGUAGCGGUGAAAUGCUUAGAUAUGACAUAGAACACCGAUUGCGAAGGCAGCUCGCUAAACUUAUAUUGACGCUGAGGCACGAAAGCGUGGGGAUCAAACAGG
rnacentral:rRNA from 1 species